GCUGCGGUGGUCUAGUGGUUAGGACGGUAGAUUGUGGCUCUGCCACCCCGGGUUCAACUCCCGGUCGCGGCC
rnacentral:tRNA from 2 species